rnacentral:rRNA from 1 species
GAUUGAUUCUUCGGAUGAUUCUCUUGCGACUUAGUGGCGGACGGGUGAGUAACGCGUGGGUAACCUGCCUCACACAGGGGGAUAACAGUUGGAAACGACCGCUAAUACCGCAUAACCCGCUAGGGCCGCAUGGCCCGGACGGAAAAGAUUUAUCGGUGUGAGAUGGACCCGCGUUGGAUUAGCUAGUUGGCAGGGUAACGGCCUACCAAGGCGACGAUCCAUAGCCGGCCUGAGAGGGUGAACGGCCACAUUGGGACUGAGACACGGCCCAAACUCCUACGGGAGGCAGCAGUGGGGAAUAUUGCACAAUGGGGGAAACCCUGAUGCAGCGACGCCGCGUGAGUGAAGAAGUAUUUCGGUAUGUAAAGCUCUAUCAGCAGGGAAGAAAAUGACGGUACCUGACUAAGAAGCCCCGGCUAACUACGUGCCAGCAGCCGCGGUAAUACGUAGGGGGCAAGCGUUAUCCGGAUUUACUGGGUGUAAAGGGAGCGUAGACGGCUAAGCAAGUCAGAAGUGAAAGGCUGGGGCUCAACCCCGGGACUGCUUUUGAAACUGUUUGGCUAGAGUGCUGGAGAGGUAAGCGGAAUUCCUAGUGUAGCGGUGAAAUGCGUAGAUAUUAGGAGGAACACCAGUGGCGAAGGCGGCUUACUGGACAGUAACUGACGUUGAGGCUCGAAAGCGUGGGGAGCAA